UACGAGUGCCCCAAGCGUUAUCCGGAAUCAUUGGGCGUAAAGGGUGUGUAGGCGGUUGUGUUAGUCUUUUGUUAAAGCUCCCGGCUUAACCGGGAAAGUGCAAGAGAUACGGCACAACUAGAGGAUGCGAGAGGUGAACGGAACUCAUAGUGUAGGGGUGAAAUCCGUUGAUAUUAUGGGGAACACCAAAUGCGAAGGCAGUUCACUGGCGCAUUCCUGACGUUGAAACACGAAAGCGUGGGUAGCGAAUGGG
rnacentral:rRNA from 1 species